rnacentral:rRNA from 1 species
AGUGAACGCUGGCGGCAGGCCUAACACAUGCAAGUCGAACGGCAGCACAGAGGAGCUUGCUCCUUGGGUGGCGAGUGGCGGACGGGUGAGGAAUGCGUCGGAAUCUGCCUAUUUGUGGGGGAUAACGUAGGGAAACUUACGCUAAUACCGCAUACGACCUACGGGUGAAAGUGGGGGACCUUCGGGCCUCACGCAGAUAGAUGAGCCGACGCCGGAUUAGCUAGUUGGCGGGGUAAAGGCCCACCAAGGCGACGAUCCGUAGCUGGUCUGAGAGGAUGAUCAGCCACACUGGGACUGAGACACGGCCCAGACUCCUACGGGAGGCAGCAGUGGGGAAUAUUGGACAAUGGGCGCAAGCCUGAUCCAGCCAUGCCGCGUGUGUGAAGAAGGCCUUCGGGUUGUAAGCACUUUUGUCCGGAAAGAAAUCCAAUCGAUUAAUACUCGGUUGGGAUGACGGUACCGGAAGAAUAAGCACCGGCUAACUUCGUGCCAGCCGCCGCCGUAAUAC